rnacentral:rRNA from 1 species
UACAGAGGUCUCAAGCGUUGUUCGGAUUCAUUGGGCGUAAAGGGUGCGUAGGUGGCGCCAUAAGUCAGGUGUGAAAUCUCGGGGCUUAACUCCGAAACUGCAUUUGAUACUGUGGUGCUUGAGGACUGGAGAGGAGACUGGAAUUUACGGUGUAGCAGUGAAAUGCGUAGAGAUCGUAAGGAAGACCAGUGGCGAAGGCGGGUCUCUGGACAGUUCCUGACACUGAGGCACGAAGGCCAGGGGAGCAAACAGG